rnacentral:tRNA from 1 species
GCUAGGUUGUGGCUCAGUGGUAAAGCACUCGCCUAGCACGUGUGAGGCACUGGAUUCAAUACUUAGCA